rnacentral:rRNA from 1 species
GGAUGAACGCUGGCGGCGUGCUUAAUACAUGCAAGUCGAACGAGGGCACUCACGUAGCAAUACGAGGGUGUUCCUAGUGGCGAACGGGUGCGUAACACGUAGGCGACCUGCCCCGAAGUGUGGGAUAACACCGCGAAAGUGGUGCUAAUACCGCAUGAUCUCCCUGGGGUUAGAGGCCCGGGGAGCAAAGGCGUAAGCCGCUUUGGGAGGGGCCUGCGGCCCAUCAGCUAGUUGGUAGGGUAACGGCCUACCAAGGCAGCGACGGGUAGGGGGCCUGAGAGGGUGGCCCCCCACACUGGCACUGAAAUACGGGCCAGACACCUACGGGUGGCAGCAGUAGGGAAUAUUGGACAAUGGGCGAAAGCCUGAUCCAGCAACGCCGCGUGCGCGAUGAAGGCCUUCGGGUUGUAAAGCGCUUUUCGGGGGGAUGAGGAAGGACAGUACCCCCGGAAUAAGUCUC